rnacentral:rRNA from 1 species
GGGUCAGUAGGUUGGUCGUGCCACCGGUACGUACUGGUCUCACUGACUCCUCCUUCCUGAAGAACCGUAAUGCCAUUAAUUUGGUGUUGCGGGGAAACAGGACUGUUACUUUGAAAAAAUUAGAGUGCUUAAAGCAAGCUAACGCUUGAAUACAUUAGCAUGGAAUAAUGAAAUAGGACGAUCGAUCCUAUUUUGUUGGUUUCUAGGAUUGACGUA